UACGUAGGGAGCAAGCGUUGUCCGGAAUCAUUGGGCGUAAAGCGCGCGUAGGUGGCUUCAUAAGUCCGUUGUGAAAGUCAAAGGCUCAACCUUUGAAAGCCGAUGGAUACUGUGGAGCUAGAGUACGGAAGAGGCGAGUGGAAUUCCUGGUGUAGCGGUGGAAUGCGCAGAUAUCAGGAGGAACACCAAUAGCGAAGGCAGCUCGCUGGGACGUUACUGACACUGAGGCGCGAAAGCGUGGGGAGCGAACAGGG
rnacentral:rRNA from 1 species